rnacentral:rRNA from 1 species
CACGUAGGGUGCGAGCGUUGUCCGGAAUUAUUGGGCGUAAAGAGCUCGUAGGCGGUGUGUCGCGUCGGCCGUGAAAACCUGCAGCUUAACUGUGGGCUUGCGGUCGAUACGGGCAUCACUGGAGUUCGGCAGGGGAGACUGGAAUUCCUGGUGUAGCGGUGAAAUGCGCGGAUAUCGGGAAGAACACCUGUGGCGAAGGCGGCUCUCUGGGACGGUACUGACGCUGAGACGCGAAAGCGUGGGGAGCAAACAGG